rnacentral:rRNA from 1 species
AUACGGAGGACGCGAGCGUUAUCCGGAUUCAUUGGGUUUAAAGGGUGCGCAGGCGGCCGUGCAAGUCAGCGGUGAAAGCCCGGGGCUCAACCCCGGAAGUGCCGUUGAUACCGCAUGUCUGGAGUUCGGAUGCCGUGGGAGGAAUGGGCAGUGUAGCGGUGAAAUGCAUAGAUAUUGCCCAGAACACCGAUUGCGAAGGCAUCUCACGAAUCCGACACUGACGCUGAGGCACGAAAGCGUGGGGAUCAAACAGGAUUAGAUACCCUGGUAGUCCACGCAGUAAACGAUGAUAACUAACCGUCGGCGAUAGACAGUCGGUGGCCAAGCGAAAGCGAUAAGUUAUCCACCUGGGGAGUACGUUCGCAAGAAUGAAACUCAAAUGAAUUGGCGGGG